GCCCCAUGCUUCCAGGGAGGAGGCUGCAUCUUACAGGGUCUGACAGCCUCCUUUUUCCUGGAAACUGAUGUUGCAGACAGCUGUUGUGAGCCAGAGUUACAUCAUCUGGCUCCCUUCUUCCCUCUGUAAGCUUUGAAGAGGGCCAGCGCCCCCCAGUGGAUGCCUGCCCUGAGGCAACCAACAGUAGCUGGCCCACCUGCCCCAGUGUAUAUUCAGAAGGGAACAAGUCAUUCACACUACAAAACUGUACCCGGGAUAGAGAAGAUGAAGUGAGCCCAGAAGUUCCUCCUGCCCUUGGCCUGACUACAGUUACAGACAAGACACUCAACCCCUCCAUGCACUGCCACCGUGGGAUGCAGAAGCAACGCAGAAAAAGAAACUCCACUGCUGACCAGAGAAGUGGAAGCCCCAAGGAAGAACCAAUGGCUAAUGUGAACAGGAC
rnacentral:lncRNA from 1 species